GUCUUGUGAAGGCUAGACGUAACCAAUGUCAUAUCUUCGCUGAAAUUGUUUGGUUUGGUGUAAUCAGCAGUUCGAAUACAAUAUGAAAGAAGAUUCUGUUUAACUCAUGUUUGACGUUGCAAAUUAGAAGUGAUUGCAUUUGAGGUCUAUUUGUGAUUUGUUAGCGAACCGUUAUACACAGAAAGCAAUUAAGGAUCAUAAUAUAGAUCUGAAGGAGAUUGAAAAAAACCAUCUUGGUUCUAAUGAAGAACAGAAGGUUCCACCACCAAAAAAUAGCUGACACAUAAUGAGGAGCCUCUGCAGUUUACUUUCUCCAUGUUCCGUUCUGCAGUGGGUGCCACAGCGUAAGAUACAAUUCGGCUGUAGCAAUGAGAUUGCUGAGAGCCAGUGGCAUAGUGAUGUUACAGACGUUUGAUAUAUACAGGUUAAAUUAUAAGGAAGCUGUAUUAAUGUCUUUACCUUUCACUCCACAUUGUUGUUGCAGUAAAUAUUGUGUAGAAUGUUUUAGCAUUUUUGAUCAUAUACAAAUAUAUGUUUAAAAAAGGCAGCGAGUUAUACAUGCAAUCAUGCCACAAAAUACUCCAUAUUGUUUUCAGUGUGAUUGUUAUGUAGAAGCAAACUCUGAACGUAAUUAUCACAAAGGAUUUCCCAAAAUAAAUUAUCUUUUGCAGUCAGCUUUGAGAGUUAAUAUCAGAUACCUAUAAAAUUUUCUUCCGUCAUAUAGAUAUAGUCACUUUUGCUGUUUUGUAAAUAAUAAAGGUGUAUGUGCUAUCAUCAGUAUCAAUUUUCCUAAUAAGUUGAUUUUUCUACCAAAGCAGCAUCUGUGCACUUUUGGUCUGCUACAAGAUUCUGUUUCAUAUAUUUGUGUGCUAAUACCUCAAUACAUAGUUUUUCGUAGUCAUUUCAUAUGUAAGAAAUGGAAGUAGUAUGAUUAGACUGAAGCUGUUCCUGGUAAUGGAAACUUUUAUGAUAUGCAGAUGUUUACUCAUGUUGAGGAAAUGGGACCAUAAAGCUUUCUAUUAUGAACCACUGCACCUGCUGGAUUGCAUUCGGUAGCAUAUCUUCUGCUUCGGCUGUAUCUGUUUUCAACAGUCCUUAAUUAAUGUCACUAAUUCUGUGGGCCACAUUAAUUCAUGCAAUUUUUCUUUUAUUCUUUAUUUUAAAUGUAUAUAAAAACUGAGUGUUCAGUAGAAUUAGACAGUAAUUCAUUGUUACCUAGAUGUGUAGUAAUAGAUUUAUUUUUACAAAUAUAAAUAUGUAGAUGUGUAUUGCAAGUGCUUAAAAACUUUGUUUUUCCUUCUUCAAUGAGCUGUGAUGUGUAUAUAUGCUUUACACUUUCUUGGAACAGUUACACCAAAAAGGAUAAAAUAAAUUAGCUAAUUCUGUUGUGUGGA